GGUUAAGCGACUAAGCGUACACGGUGGAUGCCCUGGCAGUCAGAGGCGAUGAAGGACGUGCUAAUCUGCGAUAAGCGUCGGUAAGGUGAUAUGAACCGUUAUAACCGGCGAUUUCCGAAUGGGGAAACCCAGUGUGUUUCGACACACUAUCAUUAACUGAAUCCAUAGGUUAAUGAGGCGAACCGGGGGAACUGAAACAUCUAAGUACCCCGAGGAAAAGAAAUCAACCGAGAUUCCCCCAGUAGCGGCGAGCGAACGGGGAGCAGCCCAGAGCCUGAAUCAGUGUGUGUGUUAGUGGAAGCGUCUGGAAAGGCGCGCGAUACAGGGUGACAGCCCCGUACACAAAAAUGCACAUGCUGUGAGCUCGAUGAGUAGGGCGGGACACGUGGUAUCCUGUCUGAAUAUGGGGGGACCAUCCUCCAAGGCUAAAUACUCCUGACUGACCGAUAGUGAACCAGUACCGUGAGGGAAAGGCGAAAAGAACCCCGGCGAGGGGAGUGAAAAAGAACCUGAAACCGUGUACGUACAAGCAGUGGGAGCACGCUUAGGCGUGUGACUGCGUACCUUUUGUAUAAUGGGUCAGCGACUUAUAUUCUGUAGCAAGGUUAACCGAAUAGGGGAGCCGAAGGGAAACCGAGUCUUAACUGGGCGUUAAGUUGCAGGGUAUAGACCCGAAACCCGGUGAUCUAGCCAUGGGCAGGUUGAAGGUUGGGUAACACUAACUGGAGGACCGAACCGACUAAUGUUGAAAAAUUAGCGGAUGACUUGUGGCUGGGGGUGAAAGGCCAAUCAAACCGGGAGAUAGCUGGUUCUCCCCGAAAGCUAUUUAGGUAGCGCCUCGUGAACUCAUCUCCGGGGGUAGAGCACUGUUUCGGCAAGGGGGUCAUCCCGACUUACCAACCCGAUGCAAACUGCGAAUACCGGAGAAUGUUAUCACGGGAGACACACGGCGGGUGCUAACGUCCGUCGUGAAGAGGGAAACAACCCAGACCGCCAGCUAAGGUCCCAAAGUCAUGGUUAAGUGGGAAACGAUGUGGGAAGGCCCAGACAGCCAGGAUGUUGGCUUAGAAGCAGCCAUCAUUUAAAGAAAGCGUAAUAGCUCACUGGUCGAGUCGGCCUGCGCGGAAGAUGUAACGGGGCUAAACCAUGCACCGAAGCUGCGGCAGCGACGCUUAUGCGUUGUUGGGUAGGGGAGCGUUCUGUAAGCCUGUGAAGGUGUGCUGUGAGGCAUGCUGGAGGUAUCAGAAGUGCGAAUGCUGACAUAAGUAACGAUAAAGCGGGUGAAAAGCCCGCUCGCCGGAAGACCAAGGGUUCCUGUCCAACGUUAAUCGGGGCAGGGUGAGUCGACCCCUAAGGCGAGGCCGAAAGGCGUAGUCGAUGGGAAACAGGUUAAUAUUCCUGUACUUGGUGUUACUGCGAAGGGGGGACGGAGAAGGCUAUGUUGGCCGGGCGACGGUUGUCCCGGUUUAAGCGUGUAGGCUGGUUUUCCAGGCAAAUCCGGAAAAUCAAGGCUGAGGCGUGAUGACGAGGCACUACGGUGCUGAAGCAACAAAUGCCCUGCUUCCAGGAAAAGCCUCUAAGCAUCAGGUAACAUCAAAUCGUACCCCAAACCGACACAGGUGGUCAGGUAGAGAAUACCAAGGCGCUUGAGAGAACUCGGGUGAAGGAACUAGGCAAAAUGGUGCCGUAACUUCGGGAGAAGGCACGCUGAUAUGUAGGUGAAGCGACUUGCUCGUGGAGCUGAAAUCAGUCGAAGAUACCAGCUGGCUGCAACUGUUUAUUAAAAACACAGCACUGUGCAAACACGAAAGUGGACGUAUACGGUGUGACGCCUGCCCGGUGCCGGAAGGUUAAUUGAUGGGGUCAGCGCAAGCGAAGCUCUUGAUCGAAGCCCCGGUAAACGGCGGCCGUAACUAUAACGGUCCUAAGGUAGCGAAAUUCCUUGUCGGGUAAGUUCCGACCUGCACGAAUGGCGUAAUGAUGGCCAGGCUGUCUCCACCCGAGACUCAGUGAAAUUGAACUCGCUGUGAAGAUGCAGUGUACCCGCGGCAAGACGGAAAGACCCCGUGAACCUUUACUAUAGCUUGACACUGAACAUUGAGCCUUGAUGUGUAGGAUAGGUGGGAGGCUUGGAAGUGUGGACGCCAGUCUGCAUGGAGCCGACCUUGAAAUACCACCCUUUAAUGUUUGAUGUUCUAACGUUGACCCGUGAUCCGGGUUGCGGACAGUGUCUGGUGGGUAGUUUGACUGGGGCGGUCUCCUCCUAAAGAGUAACGGAGGAGCACGAAGGUUGGCUAAUCCUGGUCGGACAUCAGGAGGUUAGUGCAAUGGCAUAAGCCAGCUUGACUGCGAGCGUGACGGCGCGAGCAGGUGCGAAAGCAGGUCAUAGUGAUCCGGUGGUUCUGAAUGGAAGGGCCAUCGCUCAACGGAUAAAAGGUACUCCGGGGAUAACAGGCUGAUACCGCCCAAGAGUUCAUAUCGACGGCGGUGUUUGGCACCUCGAUGUCGGCUCAUCACAUCCUGGGGCUGAAGUAGGUCCCAAGGGUAUGGCUGUUCGCCAUUUAAAGUGGUACGCGAGCUGGGUUUAGAACGUCGUGAGACAGUUCGGUCCCUAUCUGCCGUGGGCGCUGGAGAACUGAGGGGGGCUGCUCCUAGUACGAGAGGACCGGAGUGGACGCAUCACUGGUGUUCGGGUUGUCAUGCCAAUGGCACUGCCCGGUAGCUAAAUGCGGAAGAGAUAAGUGCUGAAAGCAUCUAAGCACGAAACUUGCCCCGAGAUGAGUUCUCCCUGACUCCUUGAGAGUCCUGAAGGAACGUUGAAGACGACGACGUUGAUAGGCCGGGUGUGUAAGCGCAGCGAUGCGUUGAGCUAACCGGUACUAAUGAACCGUGAGGCUUAACCUU
rnacentral:rRNA from 1 species